rnacentral:rRNA from 1 species
UACGUAGGGUGCAAGCGUUGUCCGGAAUUAUUGGGCGUAAAGAGCUCGUAGGCGGUCUGUCGCGUCGGCUGUGAAAACCCGGAGCUCAACUCCGGGCCUGCAGUCGAUACGGGCAAACUGGAGUGUUGCAGGGGAGACUGGAAUUCCUGGUGUAGCGGUGAAAUGCGCAGAUAUCAGGAGGAACACCGGUGGCGAAGGCGGGUCUCUGGGCAACAACUGACGCUGAGGAGCGAAAGCGUGGGGAGCAAACGGG